rnacentral:rRNA from 1 species
AACGAACGCUGGCGGCAGGCUUAACACAUGCAAGUCGAGCGCCCCGCAAGGGGAGCGGCAGACGGGUGAGUAACGCGUGGGAAUGUACCCUUUGCUACGGAACAGCUCCGGGAAACUGGAAUUAAUACCGUAUGUGCCCUUCGGGGGAAAGAUUUAUCGGCAAAGGAUCAGCCCGCGUUGGAUUAGCUAGGUUGGUGGGG